GUCCCUUCGGGGACAUCAAAAACUGAAUCAAAUCAGAGAAAAUUAGCAUGGUCCCUUCACAAGAAUGAAGCACAGACAAAUCGCAAAAUAUUUCAAUUUUUU
rnacentral:snRNA from 1 species